rnacentral:rRNA from 1 species
AGCGAACGCUGGCGGCAGGCCUAAUACAUGCAAGUCGAGCGCCCGUAGCAAUACGGGAGCGGCAGACGGGUGAGUAACACGUGGGAACGUACCCUUCGGUUCGGAAUAACCCAGGGAAACUUGGGUUAAUACCGGAUACGCCCUUACGGGGAAAGAUUUAUUGCCGAAGGAUCGGCCCGCGUCCGAUUAGCUAGUUGGUGGGGUAAUGGCCCACCAAGGCGACGAUCGGUAGCUGGUCUGAGAGGAUGANCAGCCACACUGGGACUGAGACACGGCCCAGACUCCUACGGGAGGCAGCAGUAGGGAAUAUUGGACAAUGGGCGCAAGCCUGAUCCAGCCAUGCCGCGUGGGUGAUGAAGGCCCUAGGGUUGUAAAGCCCUUUCGGCGGGAAGAUAAUGACGGUACCCGCAGAAGAAGCCCCGGCUAACUUCGUGCCAGCAGCCGCCGUAAC